CCUACGGGAGGCAGCAGUGAGGAAUAUUGGUCAAUGGGCGAGAGCCUGAACCAGCCAAGUCGCGUGAGGGAGUACUGCCCUAUGGGUUGUAAACCUCUUUUGUCGGGGAGCAAAAUCCGGACGUGUCCGCCUUUGAGAGUACCCGAAGAAAAAGCAUCGGCAAACACCGUGCCAGCAGCCGCGGUAAUACGGGGGAUGCGAGCGUUAUCCGGAUUUUUUGGGUUUAAGGGGUGCGCAGGCGGGUUUUUAAGUCAGCGGGCAAAUCGUGGGGCUAAACCCCAUCCAGCCGUUGAAACUGGGGAUCUAGAGUGUGCGAGAGGUAUGCGGAAUGCGUGGUGUAGCGGUGAAAUGCAUAGAUAUCACGCAGAACCCCGAUUGCGAAGGCAGCCUACCAGUGCACAACUGACGCUCAGGCACGAAAGCGUGGGUAUCAAACAGGAUUAGAUACCCGAGUAGUC
rnacentral:rRNA from 1 species